rnacentral:rRNA from 1 species
AGAGUUUGAUCAUGGCUCAGGACGAACGCUGGCGGCGUGCUUAACACAUGCAAGUCGAGCGGUAAGGCCUUUCGGGGUACACGAGCGGCGAACGGGUGAGUAACACGUGGGUGAUCUGCCCUGCACUCUGGGAUAAGCUUGGGAAACUGGGUCUAAUACCGGAUAUGACUGCAUGCCGCAUGGUGUGUGGUGGAAAGAUUUAUCGGUGCAGGAUGGGCCCGCGGCCUAUCAGCUUGUUGGUGGGGUAAUGGCCUACCAAGGCGGCGACGGGUAGCCGACCUGAGAGGGUGACCGGCCACACUGGGACUGAGACACGGCCCAGACUCCUACGGGAGGCAGCAGUGGGGAAUAUUGCACAAUGGGCGGAAGCCUGAUGCAGCGACGCCGCGUGAGGGAUGAAGGCCUUCGGGUUGUAAACCUCUUUCAGCAGGGACGAAGCGUGAGUGACGGUACCUGCAGAAGAAGCACCGGCUAACUACGUGCCAGCAGCCGCGGUAAUACGUAGGGUGCGAGCGUUGUCCGGAAUUACUGGGCGUAAAGAGUUCGUAGGCGGUUUGUCGCGUCGUUUGUGAAAACCCGGGGCUCAACUUCGGGCUUGCAGGCGAUACGGGCAGACUUGAGUGUUUCAGGGGAGACUGGAAUUCCUGGUGUAGCGGUGAAAUGCGCAGAUAUCAGGAGGAACACCGGUGGCGAAGGCGGGUCUCUGGGAAACAACUGACGCUGAGGAACGAAAGCGUGGGUAGCAAACAGGAUUAGAUACCCCGGUAGUCC